UGUCUUAUCUUCGGAUUUGAUGAUGGCGAGUGGCGGACGGGUGAGUAACACGUAGGUAUCUACCUGAAAGUGGGGGACAACCCGGGGAAACUCGGGCUAAUACCGCAUAUUCUCUACGGAGGAAAGCUGGGGACCGUAAGGCCUGGCGCUUUCAGAUGAGCCUGCGGCAGAUUAGCUAGUUGGUGGGGUAAAGGCCUACCAAGGCGACGAUCUGUAGCUGGUCUGAGAGGAUGAUCAGCCACACUGGGACUGAGACACGGCCCAGACUCCUACGGGAGGCAGCAGUGGGGAAUUUUGGACAAUGGGCGAAAGCCUGAUCCAGCAAUACCGCGUGUGUGAUGAAGGCCUUCGGGUCGUAAAGCACUUUCAGUUGUGAAGAAAUGCACAUGGUUAAUAGCCAUGUGAGCUGACGUUAACAACAAAAGAAGCACCGGCUAACUCUGUGCCAGCAGCCGCGGUAAUACAGAGGGUGCAAGCGUUAAUCGGAAUUACUGGGCGUAAAGCGCGCGUAGGUGGGUAGUUAAGUUAUGUGUGAAAGCCCCGGGCUCAACCUGGGAAUUGCACGUAAGACUGGCUAUCUAGAGUAUAGUAGAGGGAAGUAGAAUUUCCGGUGUAGCGGUGAAAUGCAUAGAUAUCGGAAGGAAUACCA
rnacentral:rRNA from 1 species